GGAGUUAGCCGGUGCUUCUUCUGCGAGUAACGUCACAGCUAGCAGGUAUUAACUACUAACCUUUCCUCCUCGCUGAAAGUGCUUUACAACCCGAAGGCCUUCUUCACACACGCGGCAUGGCUACAUCAGGGUUUCCCCCAUUGUGCAAUAUUCCCCACUGCUGCCUCCCGUAGGAGUCUGGGCCGUGUCUCAGUCCCAGUGUGGCUGAUCAUCCUCUCAGACCAGCUAGGGAUCGUUGCCUAGGUGAGCCAUUACCUCACCUACUAGCUAAUCCCACCUGGGCUUAUCCAUCAGCGCAAGGACCGAAGUUCCCCUGCUUUCCCCCGUAGGGCGUAUGCGGUAUUAGCAGUCGUUUCCAACUGUUAUCCCCCACAAAUGGGCAAAUUCCCAGGCAUUACUCACCCGUCCGCCGCUCGUCAUCUUCAAAAGCAAGCUUUUGAAAUGUUACCGCUCGACUUGCAUGUGUUAGGCCUGCCGCCAGCGUUCAAUCUGAGCCAUAAUCAAACUCUGA
rnacentral:rRNA from 1 species